ACUUCCUGGGAUCCCGUUUCGCUUCUGGUUCAUGGACUGAGGGCUGCUGUGAUUUUGGUUUUGCAGGACGAUUGCGGCAACUGUAGUUAUCUCCGUGGCUGCAGAUAUUGUGGCUUUGACUUAUUGUUGGCGGCGGCGUGUGUCUCGCAUCUGCAUAUGCGACCACAUUCAGUCAAUAUAAUGCUGUGUAUGGGCGGAUGACGACUGUAUAUGCAGAGUUAUUUUCCUUGCGUAUCCUGAGCUCCACCGGCUGAGUGAUUAAACCGAAACUAUACUUCGCAUUGCAUCUAUGGAGUAUUAUCUUCACUUCUACUGACUCCCGGGUCCCUGUGCCUGUUAUCUGGUAGGUCUAAUUCAUGUGGGUUUUAUUACAUAAAUGUUUUAUGGUGACUGGUUAACAUGACUAGUUUUCCCCUGUGUUGUAGAGUGAUAGGGGCACGUAGUGACGUCACCGCUGUCUUGUUCCUGGUUGAACAUUCAUGAAUUUCGUGUUAAUACGGUUGUGAAUCCGUUGAGUGUGGGAGUGCUUUUGUUUGCAUUUAUAUGGUCCAGUUGUGUUUUGAAUUAAUUUGGUUAAUUCUGUUAUUGUGUGUUUGGCAGGCAUUAAGUGUCAGCUGUGUUGCCUGCCUAAAUCUUGUGUUAAUUAUUUUUGUUGUGUUUGAGUGUGUGUGUGUGUGUGUGUGUGUGUGCUAUUUUGUUUUACAGGAGCUGCAGACCUUUUAUGGAGAGCAGGGCUGAAGUCUUCCUUUAGGUGGUGAUGGUGUUUCCUCACAGAGUGCUGUGAUUUGCCGUGUGCACUGGGGCUUUUGGAUUGGUGUGAGUGUGCAGUGUACUUAGAGUAAAGGCCUGUACGGCCGGUCAUGUAGCCCAGGCUGCAGCUCCUCAUUGUUGUCUUUCCUGGACCUUUUGUGUAAUUGUGGUCCCAGUCUCUUUUCAGUGAAUGUGUUUUAAAUUUCUGUUAUUGAAUUUAAAAUAAAUUGUUCUAUUUUUAUACCAGUAC